AAUAUCGCAUUCAACUGCCCGGUAGGUAUCUAGUUCGCGUUCGCAGCAGCUGCAGAAGAAGUCGAUGCUGUACGAUAUAACAUCCGAGUAUUACCGCUCGUUUUUAGUGCAGUUAACUGGGGGACGUGGCGGGAACCCAAACCUGAGACGGAGCGGGCCAGGUCCCGCGCCUCCCUACAGCUUCCAGCCUUAGGGAGAAGCAGCGCACUUCGUGCACUUCUUUUUACCGUACGCAUCAAGCUAGAUCCUCUAGCAGCUGAAGGCGCUGCUGUAUAGCGGUGAUAGUCUCCUUGAGCUCCUGGUGUUUUGCCUUUGUUUCCUCGACAAUAUUUGGCGGUGCGUUUUGGAGGAAGCCCCUUGCGCCGAGUCGCUUCUCGAGCCCGGCAAGAUCGGCGCCGAUUUUUUGAACCUGCUUAUUCAAACGCUCUCGCUCAACUUGUACGUCAAAUAAACCUUUGGCCGGCAGGAACGCUUCUAUGUUUUCGUCGACAAUAACGUGCACACACUUUCGAAUGAAAUCCGUUUCUGGCGGGACAUUCACAACGUGCAUCUGCUGCUCAUCUAUCUUGGCUAGAGACGCGAAAACUGACGGAUACGACGUGAUAAAGUCCUCGAGUUCAUUAUUCGAUCGCACCACAACCCAGGCCGCUAUGCGCCGCGACGGCUCGACACCGUAGCUGGCUCGGGCGUUGCGCACUUUGCGGACAAGCUCUUGGAAGCGUCGAAAACCCGUAACAGCAGCCUGAUUCUCUGGAAAUCGUAGCAUCGGCCAAUUUUGGCACAUAAGCGCAGUUCCGUGUCCAUUGCUCACCGCAGAGGGCAGUCUCUGAUACGCAGCCUCUGUUAUAAAUGGCAUAAAUGGAUGCAGGAGACGGAGACUCGUGUCCAGAGUGAGUGCCAGGAUCCGUUUGGAUGGCGCCGCCGCCUUGGAGUCGCCGUUCGCUGUCCGUAAAACUGCUUUCGCAACCUCCAAGUACCAGUCCGCAAAAUCGUCCCACAAAAAAUCGUAAACUUUUUGGCCAGCGUCGCCAAUUUCAAA